AAAGACUUAGUCCUAACCUUACUAUUAGCUUCCUGCCAGGUAUAUACAUGCGAGUAUCAGCGCCCCAGUGUAAAUGCCCUAAACUUCUUCCAACAAGAGAACAGGAGCGGGCAUCAGGCACACCCACGAGUAGCCCAAGACGCCUUGCUAGGCCACACCCCCACGGGUACUCAGCAGUAAUUAACAUUAAGCAAUAAGCGCAAGCUUGACUUAGCCAUGGCAACACACAGGGUUGGUGAAUCUUGUGCCAGCCACCGCGGUCAUACAAGAGACCCAAGCUAAUCGUACGCGGCGUAAAGAGUGGCACCAUACUAUCGCACAACUAAGAUCAAAAUGCAACCAAGCUGUCAUAAGCCAAAGAUGCACCAAAACCCACCCCAAAAGAGAUCUUAGCGCACACGAUCGACUGCACCCCACGAAAGCCAGGGCCCAAACUGGGAUUAGAUACCCCACUAUGCCUGGCCAUAAAUCCUGAUGUUUACAACAACCCAAACAUCCGCCCGGGCACUACGAGCACAAACGCUUAAAACCCUAAGGACUUGGCGGUGUCCCAAACCCACCUAGAGGAGCCUGUUCUAUAAUCGAUACCCCACGAUACACCCGACCGCCCCUUGCCAAAACAGCCUACAUACCGCCGUCGCCAGCUCACCUCCCACGAGACAAGCAGUGAGCACAAUAGCUAAUCCCGCUUGAAAGACAGGUCAAGGUAUAGCCCAUGAGGCGGGAGAAAUGGGCUACAUUUUCUACAAUAGACAAGCCCCACGGAAGGGGGCAUGAAACACCCCCCAGAAGGCGGAUUUAGCAGUAAAGCAGGACAAUAGAGCCCCCUUUAAGCCGGCCCUGGGACACGUACAUACCGCCCGUCACCCUCCUCACAAGCCACAGACACCUAUACACUAAAACACCCACCAGCUGAAGAUGAGGAAAGUCGUAACAAGGUAAGUGUACCGGAAGGUGUACUUAGCAUACCAC
rnacentral:ncRNA from 1 species